AAUCUUAUGACUUUUUUAUAAGAUGAUUUCUGCCCUAUGAUUUUUUAAAUGGCCGCAGUACUUUGACUGUGCUAAGGUAGCAUAAUAAAUUGGCUUUUAAUUGAGGUCUAGAAUAAAUGAGAUAAUGGGUGAAGAUUGUCUUUAAGGAGUUAUUUAGAAGUUACUUUAUUAGGUGAAAAGACCUAAAUUUUAGAAAAAAGACGAGAAGACCCUUAGAAUUUAUUUUUUUUUUGUUGGGGUGACAUAUUUACAUUUUUAACUUUUUCUUAAAACAUGAUAGAAAACGAGUAAGAAAAAAUUACCUUAGGGAUAACAGCAUAAUUUUAUUUUAAGAUUAUGACCUCGAUGUUGGACUAGGAACUUAAUUAAUUAGUAAUUAAUUUGGUUGGUUCUGUUCGAACUUUUUCUCCU
rnacentral:rRNA from 1 species